rnacentral:rRNA from 1 species
AAAACGACUCUCGGCAACGGAUAUCUCGGCUCUCGCAUCGAUGAAGAACGUAGCGAAAUGCGAUACUUGGGUGGAAUUGCAGAAUCCGUGAACCAUCGAGUCUUUGAACGCAAGCUGCGCCCCCAAGCCUUACGGCCGAGGGCACGUCUCGCCCUGGGUGUCACAA